UACAGAGGUCUCAAGCGUUGUUCGGAUUCAUUGGGCGUAAAGGGUGCGUAGGCGGCGCGGUAAGUCGGGUGUGAAAUCUCGGAGCUUAACUCCGAAACUGCAUUCGAUACUGCCGUGCUUGAGGACUGGAGAGGAGACUGGAAUUUACGGUGUAGCGGUGAAAUGCGUAGAUAUCGUAAGGAAGACCAGUGGCGAAGGCGGGCUACUGGGCCGAUACUGACGCUGAUGCGCGAAAGCCAGGGGAGCAAACGGG
rnacentral:rRNA from 1 species